AGCAGUCAACCCUCAAGAUUAAAAAAUGUUUUACACCAGAUGACUGCCACAGCAAGUUCCACAGCUCAUGGGCCCCGGGUCCCCUGCCCUGGGACCUGGGGAUAAGUUUGGCUGCGGACAUGG